rnacentral:rRNA from 1 species
CAAGAGUGUAUAUUAAAGUUGUUGCGGUUAAAAAGCUCGUAGUUGGACUGAAGGGUUGGACUUCCAGUUCCCUUGAAACCAGUUUUCUUGGGGCUAAAGCUGGUUCGUUCCUUCUCUAUAUUAUUUUUAAAGACGUUGAACAGGUCGUAAAAAAACCUGGUUUUUGAAUCGUUUACUGUGAAAAAAUUAGAGUGUUUAAAGCAGGCUUAUAGCCAGAAUAUUUAGCAUGGGAUAAUGAAAUAUGACCUUUGUCUAUUUUGUUGGUUCCUUAGGCUGAGGUAAUGAUUAAAAGGGAUAGUUGGGGUAGUCUGUAUCCAGUGGUAAGAGGUGAAAUUCUAUGACCCACUGGGGACAAACAAAUGCGAAGGCAUUCUACAAGGAUGUUUUCAUUA